CGCGUAGGCGGUUUAUCAAGUCAGAUGUGAAAGCCCUGGGCUCAACCUGGGAAGUGCAUUUGAAACUAGUAGACUUGAGUAUGGGAGAGGGGAGUGGAAUUCCUGGUGUAGAGGUGAAAUUCGUAGAUAUCAGGAGGAACACCGGUGGCGAAGGCGACUUCCUGGACCAAUACUGACGCUGAGGCGCGAAGGCGUGGGGAGCAAACA
rnacentral:rRNA from 1 species